rnacentral:lncRNA from 1 species
UCUAUCAUAUAACUGAUGCUGGGGUUUGACAAUUUAUCCAUGACUUGCCAUCAAGUCGUGACUCAUAAUAGAGGGACUGAAUCACACGUUAACUAUACCUAGAGAUUCAUUUUAGUUAUACUGGAUUGUCACUACAUACUGCUAGGUAUCACUGAUGGAUUGUGAGAGCUCACUAGGGUUGUUCUGGAUCGACAAUCCUUGAUGAGUUAGAGUGAAAUUAUUUCGAUCCAUUGAAAAGAGUUUCAAUGAUACUUUGAUAGAGAUCAUUGUAUAUCUCAC